rnacentral:rRNA from 1 species
UACGAGGGGGGCGAGCGUUGUUCGGAAUUACUGGGCGUAAAGGGCUCGUAGGUGGCCAACUAAGUCGGACGUGAAAUCCCUCAGCUUAACUGGGGAACUGCGUCCGAUACUGGAUGGCUUGAGUUUGGGAGAGGGAUGCGGAAUUCCAGGUGUAGCGGUGAAAUGCGUAGAUAUCUGGAGGAACACCGGUGGCGAAGGCGGCAUCCUGGACCAACACUGACACUGAGGAGCGAAAGCCAGGGGAGCAAACGGG